ACACCAUUUCAUUCCGUUCAUUCGAGCUUCAUCCAAAGAAGAAGAAAACGCAGCGUCAGAUCUCUUCCUCUCUAUCAGAUCUCUUAAAUACUUCUCAGUUUUCUUCCUCGCCAUCGUAGAGUUCUCCGUCUAGAGUCUGUCGUUGUUGAUUAGUUGUAGCAACCCACGCCAUCCUUGGCUGCUACCCACAUUUCGGUGUCGAACCUAGUAGUUCUAUUUGGAAUUGUGUAAAUGGGGAAAGAGAAAGAAGACGCAUCCCGCAUAACACCUCAUAUCACUAAUCCAUCAACCCAGCAACACCCAUCGAGCUCUACUUCCGCUGCCACAUGAAGUACUACUGCCCUAAGUAGUUCCGCCAUACCAAUGAUGGGAUAUCCUUCAACUUCCACUGUCAGCUCUUGUGUAGCUACUAGUUCUAGUGUACAAACCAACAUUAGUGUCGCUGCUAGGUCUUGUUCGGCUUUACCAGCAUUUGUUCAUCCGACUUCUGUCAACCCAUAUGCAUGUGACAACGAGGAAAAUAAAGUGCAGCAAAGUAAUUCUGUUGAAUAAAUUAGUGAGACCACAUUAGACUCAAUAGAAGUUGAAGCACAGUCUACUACCUCUUUGGGUAAUAUGCUUGAUACCAAAGAGGCUGGCAGUUUCAGGUCAGUUCAU